rnacentral:lncRNA from 1 species
UUUGAUCUUUAAUUUUUAUUUGUUCUUCCCUUAACUGCUUAUGUGUUCUUGUUUGUCACCUUAGACUUUUAUCCUUUUAAACUCUGAAAAGCCCCAGUUCCCUCUACUGUUAGGAUUAGUAGUCCUAAAUACCUCCAGGACUGAUAGGAUUGGGACGGGUAAUAAUAUGCAAUAACUAACGAUAUCGUUCCGCACUUUAAUACCUUAGCAAGGUGGGAAGGGUAGAUAUAGAUAUGAUGACCGGUUCACUAAUAUCACGUGUAACCCCUCUUCUGAGGAGUGAUUUUCGGGUAUUGCAUUGAUGUGAU